rnacentral:rRNA from 1 species
CCUACGGGGAGCAGCAGUGAGGAAUAUUGGUCAAUGGGCGUAAGCCUGAACCAGCCAAGUCGCGUGAGGGCUGAAGGUUCUAUGUAUCGUAAACCUCUUUUAUAAGGGAAUAAAUUGCGGGACGUGUCCCGUUUUGUCUGUACCUUAUGAAUAAGGAUCGGCUAACUCCGUGCCAUCAGCCGCGGUAAUACGGAGGAUCCGAGCGUUAUCCGGAUUUAUUGGGUUUAAAGGGUGCGUAGGCGGCCUUUUAAGUAAGCGGUGAACGUCUGUGGCUCAACCAUAGACUUGCCGUUGAAACUGGGAGGCUUGAGUAUGUGUGAGGCAGGUGGAAUGCGGGGUGUAGCGGUGAAAUGCUUAGAUAGCACGCAGAACCCCGAUGGCGAAGGCAGCCUGCCAAGCCAUGACUGACGCUGAUGCACGAAAGCGUGGGGAUCAAACAGGAUUAGAUACCCUUGUAGUC